rnacentral:lncRNA from 1 species
GAGCUGAGGUCGAUGCAGAAGGCUCAAGCGUCCCCACAGUCUUAGGCGGGAAUGUGUGUCACGAUGUACAUUUUAUUUGGUUUGUACACAAUUCAAUUUCAAAAUUGCUAAAAUGUGUUUGAGCUUUAGAGUGGAUGGCCACAGACUAGCUAGAGUUACUAAACCAAACCAAGCUCAGACUUGUGUCCCUCAUUUACUCAUAAGGCUCAGGAGCCCAAAGGUUGAAUAAUUGGUUGAUGCUUGAGAAAGGGCUUAAGCAAUGGUUUCCGGAGCUCGCUUUUAAGUGAUCGCCCACAUAAUACAAUUGAUAUAAUGUGUUCUAGCCUGGUGGUAAAGUUAAUUAGGGGUCUGUGCUAUUCUUACUGGUCUGUUAAUCAUAUCCAUCGUCCUUUAAAAAGCGUAUGCAUCUAGAAUAGCAUGUUUAUCUGUUAAUUAAAACCCUCCUGUGUCAGUAGGGCCUGUCAUGCAUGUGGGUAUUCCUUUAUCUUUAUUCUGCUUGUGCUGUAUGAUACCGUUAAAACCUUAAAUAAAGUUGACACUGCUUGGACAUCAUCCACUGUGUCCCUCCUGUCCCCAUCUCUUUACUUUUCUUUUAUUUCCUCAUCCCCUUACCCUUAGGACCCUAUCGUGUUGCCACAAAGUGCACAACACUUUAGACUAUAACAUUUGUUGUAAUAAUUGCUAGGUUGAAGUUCACCAUGUAAAAAAAAGGGGGGGGGGCAUGGAUUUACAUUGCAAAAGGUGUCCACAGUGUAUUAGUUACAUUCUUUCAUUGACAGCUGACGUAAAUUCAUUUAGAGUGAAAUAUUUUAAGCCAAAAAAAAUCCCCUUUUUAAAAAAGGGGUUUCAAUAUUGUUGUCAUUUUUAUGGUUUCUUUAAAGGCCUUGGCUUUUCCCAGAGGUUUUCCUUUCUUGUCAUUUUUUUUCUUUAUUUUUUUUUCUCAUUUGAGUCUUAGCACCCAUUUAAAUUAUGAUACUUCCAACCUUGUAUGGUUUGCAAGCUUGCCCAGAAAUAAGACCACUGUUGAACUACCACAAAGUAUAAAUGAAUAUUUUAAUGCCACAAUCUUUCCUGUUGCCUGUGGAGUCUCUGCUGAAAUGAAUCAGGGAGAUAGGAAGCAGUUAUUUGAAGAAUUGACUGGAAACAAGGGGGCAAGGUACGUGUUACCCUGACCCCCCUCCAGGGAAAGGAGUCUGAGCUUCUAGUGAACAUCACCUAUGCUGCGUCUCUCUGUGCUCAGAGACAGACACGUUCUGAGAACUGUUCUCUCUGUUGCCUCCUUGUGAGUCCUUGUGUUACCCUGGCUACACCUUAGGAUCACCUGCCAAGCUCUUCAAACAGACUAAUCCUAACUCCAGGCCUCCCCGAUUUAAAGGUCUAACUAGGUUGCUGAAGAGAACACUGUCUGAGCUGCUUUGAAGGGUGACCUGCCCACCGGGGGAGGAACACGUUUGCAGUGGCAGAGAAGUAUUCAUUUAUUUAACAAAUGUUUAUUGGAGGCCUACUCUCGGCAGGGCAGUGCCCUAGGAGAAAACUAUGGGGAAAUGAGACACAGAGCCUGGCCCUGAGGAGCUUGGAGCCUGGAGCCAUGAAAGGACAUCUCUGGUAUAGACAAUGGCACUCACCUCCGGUUUCUCUGCUUCUGCCCCUGCGCCCUGCAGCAACAUGCACCUGCUAAAACCCGGAUCUGAUAAUGAUGCUCCUUACUCAACACCUGCCUGUGGUUUUGUGAGAACAAAAUCUAAAGUCCCACAGUGAUCUGGGAAGCCCUAAAUUAUCUGGCCCUUUCUUGAAUCACUGACCUCAUCUCCUGGGUUCUUCCCUUGCUACCCAAGGCUCAGCCUCCGCCCUUCCAUUUCUCAUCCUCAAACCAGCCGGCAUCCUCCUGACUUCUCUUGCAGCGCUCUCCUCUUCCCUCUGCCCUGAAGGCUCUGCAGGACUCCCCACCUCCCCAGGGGUCUGCUUCAGGUCUCUGCUUCUAUUUGACAUCAUUGGCAGGGGCACCUUGGUGGCUCAGUUGGUUGAGCGUCUGCCUUUGGUUCAGAUCGUGAUCCUGGGGUCCUGGGAUCGAGUUCUGCAUCGGGCUCCCUACAGGAAGCCUGCUUCUCCCACUGCCUAUGUUUCUGCCUUUCUCUGUGUCUCUCAUGAAUAAAUAAGUAAAAUCUUGACCUCGUGGGCAGGCAGCACUGACCAUCCAACGCAAAAGAACAAAUAGCCUUCCUACCUUGCCAGCCUCUCUUUUUUUAUCCACUUUAUCGUUCUAGAGUACCUCACCUGUGUGACACACUGUAUCUUUCUUUUUUGACUUCUGCAUUUCUCCUACACUGGUCAGCACCCUUUGCAUUGGUGUAUUCCAAGCUGGGCCUUGCCACCUGCUGUGCUGCUAAAUGCCUGGCAGUGCAAGGCCCAUGGUUGGCAUUCUUGAAUGGAAGAAUACCUGGGAAUCCACCCACGGGGGCAGGAAGUGGGGCUGGAAGGGAGCCAACAGAAGCCCAGAAAGGGUGAUUUUACCUUGUGGAGGAACUGAUUUUUUUGCUUUAAAGGAAGAGAUAGGGGCAGCCUAGUGGCUCAGCAGUUUAGCGCCGCCUUCAGCCCAGGAUGUGAUCCUGGAGACCCAGGAUGGAGUCCCACAUCAGGCUCCUUGCAGGGAGCCUGCUUCUUCUUCUGCCUGUGUCUCUGCCUCUCUCUCUCUGUGUCUUCCAUGAAUAAAUAAAUAAAUAAAUAAAUAAAUAAAUAAAUAAAUAAAAUCUUUUAAUGAAUAAAUAAAUAAAGGAAGAGACAGGGGGCACCUGGGUGGCUCAGCAGUUGAGCGUCUGCCUUUGGCCCAGGUUGUGGUCCCAGGGUUCUGGGAUUGAGUCCCACAUCCGGCUCCUCAUGGAAGCCUGCUUUCCCUCAAGGUCUCUGCCUAUGUCUCUGCCUCUCUGUGUCUCUCAUGAAUAAAUAUAUAAAAUCUUUAAAAAAAAAUAAAGGAAGAGACAGGAUCAGAUCCAUGAUUUAGAAAGAGUCCUCAGAGCAGAAGAUAAGUGCACUUAUUUCCCCAUUUUAUAGAUGAAGAUGCUAAGACACCAAGGUAAUACAAAGGGCCCAUGUUUGCAAAGCUAGUAAGCGAAUUAGCAAGAUUCUGUCUGGGGAAGUUUGCCUCUAGAGCCAGCCUUAAUCACCAGGAUCUGCUCCCAUCGGAUUAAGACAUAUUUUUCUGACCCAUUGUUUUUGAUUCAUUGUGUACUUUAAACCAAUACACAACACCAGAGCUUAAACACAGUAGGUAUGCAUUUAAUUUCCCUUUUCCAAAGGGAAGAGAAUCACGAGACAUAUUCUGUGCAUGAUGCCCCAGUCUGGCAUGUCCUUCUCUGUCCUCUCAGCUGCAGUCAGGUCUUGAGGAGUGGUUUCCAGAUAAGACACUACUCCAGGUGUGUGCAGGUAUUGCAUUAGGCUCUAGGAGGCACUGGCAAGGAAGGAACAUUUCCCCCUGUGGCUAGCCGCCUAGGGCAACUGUCAAUUAACAAAGAAAGAUUACAGUUUUGAAAAU